AAAAUCACGCAAAUGGGAUGCGUGAACAUGACGAACAGAACACAAACGGCACGUAUCUGUGACGGAACAGUUACGCCACUUUCUCUCUCUACUCUCUCUUUCUCUCUCUGCCCACUUUUGUGAUCGGGCGCAUAGAUCGUCUGCCCCACUCCAAUUCGUCGCUUCAUAUUUGAGUUUAUAUAUAAACCUGCUCUACAAGACAAAAGUUCUUCAGGAAAUGCUUAACGAUCGCCGCCGAUUCAUGAUAUUGAUGCCGGUGGAUACUUCCAAAGGGAUCGCAUUGAUCCAUGACCUAAUUAAUUUUGUCAUUCGAUUGAUUGAUUCAAUCAUAUAUAUGGAAACUAGCUAGCUACACAUAUAUAUACUUUUGCAUGUAUGCGCAUAUAUUGGAUCAUGCGAUCUCUUAGGAAGAUUCCUCCAGUAUCUCUUUAUCUAAGUAAUUGCGGUUCUCUCUCUCUCUCUCUAUCAGCACUAUUAAUUUAGUUUGUACCGAUGGCGGAUGGCCGAAUCAUCCUGGUUUCUGGAUCAUAUGAACCGUGGAAGUUCUUAGCUAAUCCGCAUUGAAAGCCUGACGCCUUAAUUAAUUCUAGCAGAAACAACACAGGUAUGUACGUACAUUCAUGAUCUAUCGAUCUGCUUGUAGUUCAGAUUGCUGAAUUUUCUGCAAUAUGUGUUUUGUUUAUCGC